rfam:Brachypodium distachyon strain Bd21 chromosome 2, whole genome shotgun sequence.
AAUAUACUCCCUCCGUUCCAUAAUUCUUGUCAAAAUAUUACAUGUAUCUAGAUACAAUUUUAGAAAUAGAUACGUCCAUUUUGGGGCAAAUUUGAGACAAGAAUUAUGAAACGGAGGGAGUACAAU